GGCUGUCCAGUUUUGCCACGACGACAUUGAAAUUAUUCUUCCUCGCACCGUGUGCCAGCUCUGGGCUCUCUCAGGAAGAGCUGCCCAGGAAGAGAAGGUUGCAACUUUAUAGAAAUGUAUUGCUGCUGCUUAUUGAAGCUAAGGGAAUGUCGCUGCAUCAAUCAGGCCUCAUGGCAGGGCUCUCUUUUCUGUGUGUGGGAGGGCACCAGGAACAAAUGUUUCUUCUGAGGUGUCCCCUGGCACUGAUAGCACUCUCCUCUUCCAUUUUCCCUUAUCUGGUAAGCUGCUUUAUUUCUG
rnacentral:lncRNA from 1 species